rnacentral:rRNA from 1 species
UACGAAGGGGGCUAGCGUUGCUCGGAAUUACUGGGCGUAAAGCGCACGUAGGCGGAUUUGUAAGUCAGGGGUGAAAUCCCGGGGCUCAACCUCGGAACUGCCUUUGAUACUGCAAGUCUUGAGUCCGAUAGAGGUGAGUGGAAUUCCUAGUGUAGAGGUGAAAUUCGUAGAUAUCAGGUGGAACACCAGUGGCGAAGGCGGCUUUCUGGUACGUGACUGACGCUGAGACGCGAAAGCGUGGGGAGCGAACAGG